rnacentral:rRNA from 1 species
AUUGAACGCUGGCGGCAUGCUUUACACAUGCAAGUCGAACGGUAACAGGCCUACGGGUGCUGACGAGUGGCGAACGGGUGAGUAAUGCAUCGGAACGUGCCCAGAGGUGGGGGAUAACGCAGCGAAAGCUGUGCUAAUACCGCAUGUGAUCUGAGGAUGAAAGCGGGGGACCAGGCAGCAAUGUUUGGCCUCGCGCCUUUGGAGCGGCCGAUGUCAGAUUAGGUAGUUGGUGGGGUAAAGGCCUACCAAGCCGACGAUCUGUAGCUGGUCUGAGAGGACGACCAGCCACACUGGGACUGAGACACGGCCCAGACUCCUACGGGAGGCAGCAGUGGGGAAUUUUGGACAAUGGGCGCAAGCCUGAUCCAGCAAUGCCGCGUGCGUGAAGAAGGCCUUCGGGUUGUAAACCGCUUUUGUACGGAACGAAAAGGCUCUGGCUAAUACCUGGGGCUGAUGACGGUACCGUAAGAAUAAGCACCGGCUAACUACGUG